UACGAAGGGUGCAAGCGUUACUCGGAAUUACUGGGCGUAAAGCGUGCGUAGGUGGUUUGUCACGUCGGGAGUGAAAACACGGGGCUUAACCCCGUGCCUGCUUCCGAUACGGGCAGACUAGAGGUAUGCAGGGGAGAACGGAAUUCCUGGUGUAGCGGUGAAAUGCGCAGAUAUCAGGAGGAACACCAACAGCGAAGGCAGAUCUCUGGGACGUUACUGACGCUGAGACGCGAAGCGUGGGAACAACAGG
rnacentral:rRNA from 1 species